GGGAGGGGGGGACAACAGGGGGAAACGACGGCAAACACCGCACAACCCCACGAGCCGGCAGCGGACGGAGGGAAAAGGAAAAACCCGCCGCAGGAGGGACCCGCGCCCAACCAGCGAGGGGGGGAGGCAACGGCCCACCAAGGCGACGAGCGGCAGCCGGACGGAGAGGUUGAACGGCCACAUUGGGACUGAGACACGGCCCAGACUCCUACGGGAGGCAGCAGUGGGGGAUAUUGCACAAUGGGGGAAACCCUGAUGCAGCGACGCCGCGUGGAGGAAGAAGGUUUUCGGAUUGUAAACUCCUGUCGUUAGGGACGAUAAUGACGGUACCUAACAAGAAAGCACCGGCUAACUACAUGCCAGCAGCCGCGGUAAAACGUAGGGUGCAAGCGUUGUCCGGAAUUACUGGGUGUAAAGGGAGCGCAGGCGGACCGGCAAGUUGGAAGUGAAAACUAUGGGCUCAACCCAUAAAUUGCUUUCAAAACUGCUGGCCUUGAGUAGUGCAGAGGUAGGUGGAAUUCCCGGUGUAGCGGUGGAAUGCGUAGAUAUCGGGAGGAACACCAGUGGCGAAGGCGACCUACUGGGCACCAACUGACGCUGAGGCUCGAAAGCAUGGGUAGCAAACAGGAUUAGAUACCCUGGUAGUCCAUGCCGUAAACGAUGAUUACUAGGUGUUGGAGGAUUGACCCCUUCAGUGCCGCAGUUAACACAAAUAAGUAAUCCACCUGGGGAGUACGACCGCAAGGUUGAAAUUCAAAGGAAUUGACGGGGGCCCGCACAAGCAGUGGAGUAUGUGGUUUAAUUCGAAGCAACGCGAAGAACCUUACCAGGUCUUGACAUCCGAUGAAUAGCUUAGAGAUAAGUGAAGUCCUUCGGGACAUCGAGACAGGUGGUGCAUGGUUGUCGUCAGCUCGUGUCGUGAGAUGUUGGGUUAAGUCCCGCAACGAGCGCAACCCUUAUUGCCAGUUACUACGUAAGAGGACUCUGGCGAGACUGCCGUUGACAAAAUGGAGGAAGGUGGGGAUGACGUCAAAUCAUCAUGCCCUUUAUGACCUGGGCUACACACGUACUACAAUGGCGUUUAACAAAGAGAAGCAAGACCGCGAGGUGGAGCAAAACUCAAAAACAACGUCUCAGUUCAGAUUGCAGGCUGCAACUCGCCUGCAUGAAGUCGGAAUUGCUAGUAAUCGCGGAUCAGCAUGCCGCGGUGAAUACGUUCCCGGGCCUUGCACA
rnacentral:rRNA from 1 species